UGAUACAGUCCUUCGCAGCUUCGUAUAACCCCAAUGAUAUGGUUUGGGGGUCUCUACCAGCUCCCGUAAAGUGCUGAUUACGAAGAGUUAGGAUGGCAUU
rnacentral:ncRNA from 1 species